rnacentral:rRNA from 1 species
GAAGGUGGCCUGUGAGGGUUGCUGGAGGUAUCAGAAGUGCGAAUGCUGACAUAAGUAACGAUAAAGCGGGUGAAAAGCCCGCUCGCCGGAAGACCAAGGGUUCCUGUCCAACGUUAAUCGGGGCAGGGUGAGUCGACCCCUAAGGCGAGGCCGAAAGGCGUAGUCGAUGGGAAACGGGUUAAUAUUCCCGUACUUGGUGUUACUGCGAAGGGGGGACGGAGAAGGCUAUGUUGGCCGGGCGACGGUUGUCCCGGUUUAAGCGUGUAGGUGUGUGUUCCAGGUAAAUCCGGUUCACUUUAACACUGAGGCGUGACGACGAGGCACUACGGUGCUGAAGCAACAAAUGCCCUGCUUCCAGGAAAAGCCUCUAAGCAUCAGGUAACAUCAAAUCGUACCCCAAACCGACACAGGUGGUCAGGUAGAGAAUACCAAGGCGCUUGAGAGAACUCGGGUGAAGGAACUAGGCAAAAUGGUGCCGUAACUUCGGGAGAAGGCACGCUGACACGUAGGUGAAGUGAUUUACUCACGGAGCUGAAGUCAGUCGAAGAUACCAGCUGGCUGCAACUGUUUAUUAAAAACACAGCACUGUGCAAACACGAAAGUGGACGUAUACGGUGUGACGCCUGCCCGGUGCCGGAAGGUUAAUUGAUGGGGUCAGCGCAAGCGAAGCUCCUGAUCGAAGCCCCGGUAAACGGCGGCCGUAACUAUAACGGUCCUAAGGUAGCGAAAUUCCUUGUCGGGUAAGUUCCGACCUGCACGAAUGGCGUAAUGAUGGCCAGGCUGUCUCCACCCGAGACUCAGUGAAAUUGAACUCGCUGUGAAGAUGCAGUGUACCCGCGGCAAGACGGAAAGACCCCGUGAACCUUUACUAUAGCUUGACACUGAACAUUGAGCCUUGAUGUGUAGGAUAGGUGGGAGGCUUUGAAGCGUGGACGCCAGUCUGCGUGGAGCCGACCUUGAAAUACCACCCUUUAAUGUUUGAUGUUCUAACGUGGACCCGUGAUCCGGGUUGCGGACAGUGUCUGGUGGGUAGUUUGACUGGGGCGGUCUCCUCCUAAAGAGUAACGGAGGAGCACGAAGGUUGGCUAAUCCUGGUCGGACAUCAGGAGGUUAGUGCAAUGGCAUAAGCCAGCUUGACUGCGAGCGUGACGGCGCGAGCAGGUGCGAAAGCAGGUCAUAGUGAUCCGGUGGUUCUGAAUGGAAGGGCCAUCGCUCAACGGAUAAAAGGUACUCCGGGGAUAACAGGCUGAUACCGCCCAAGAGUUCAUAUCGACGGCGGUGUUUGGCACCUCGAUGUCGGCUCAUCACAUCCUGGGGCUGAAGUAGGUCCCAAGGGUAUGGCUGUUCGCCAUUUAAAGUGGUACGCGAGCUGGGUUUAGAACGUCGUGAGACAGUUCGGUCCCUAUCUGCCGUGGGCGCUGGAGAACUGAGGGGGGCUGCUCCUAGUACGAGAGGACCGGAGUGGACGCAUCACUGGUGUUCGGGUUGUCAUGCCAAUGGCACUGCCCGGUAGCUAAAUGCGGAAGAGAUAAGUGCUGAAAGCAUCUAAGCACGAAACUUGCCCCGAG